CCCCACAACGGCUUCCUGACGUGGCGGCUUUAACCCCAAUGGAGCA
rnacentral:ncRNA from 1 species